UAACGAAUAUUGGGCAAUGGGCGAACGCCUGACCCAGCAAUGCCGCGUGCAGGACGAAGUCCUUCGGGAUGUAAACUGCUGUCAGGGGGUCCGCAAGCGAAGGGGUCCAACAGGCCCUGGAGUUGAGCAGCCCCAGAGGAAGCCUCGACUAACUCUGUGCCAGCAGUCGCGGUAAGACAGAGGAGGCAAGCGUUGUUCGGAAUCACUGGGCUUAAAGCGCGUGUAGGCGGCUUAGAAAGUGUCGUGUUAAAUCCCGCGGCUCAACCGCGGAACUGCACGGCAAAAUACUUGGCGUGAGGUCGGUAGAGGUGCCUGGAACUCUAGGUGGAGCGGUGAAAUGGGUAGAUAUCUAGAGGAACGCCAGAAGCGAAAGCGGGGCACUGGGCCGAUUCGGACGCUGAGACGCGAAAGCGUGGGAAGCAAACA
rnacentral:rRNA from 1 species